GGAAGGAGAAGUCGUAACAAGGUUUUCAGUGAUCCCUCCCGGUCGGAGAGACACGGAAGCCUGAGCGGCCCUCGACCGCGCGCAGCGGCUCGAGGGGCGCGGCGCCCGCAACGGAGCGCCGCCGCAAGCGCUAGUGCGGUCGCUCGCAUGCGACCGUGCGAUGUCGUCAAAUUGCGGGGAAGUCCCCCUUAACGUCGAGGCUACCAAGCGCGGCAGGCCGCGGGAAGGUCGGGCGUGUGCUCCUUUUGGCGCGCACGCUCGGCCCCCGCGCGCCGAGCGUGGCCGGGCGAGAGAGCCCGGGUGAGGUGAAAAUGCCACGGCGGUCGUGGGGACGACCCGCAGCCGAGCCCCGCAUUGCNNUGCUGUUCACAGACUAUAUGGCGACAGGUCCGGGCGGCGCAGCCCCCGGGCUCAAGAGAUAGUCGGGCCGACGCGCGGCACGCUGCCACGCGUUGGGGAAGGAAACGCCUUUACGCAAGCGAUUCACCGUUCCGUAGGUGAACCUGCGGAAGGAUCA
rnacentral:rRNA from 1 species